AUUGAACGCUGGCGGCAUGCCUUACACAUGCAAGUCGAACGGUAGAGGGGGGCAACCCCUUCGAGAGUGGCGAACGGGUGAGUAAUGCAUCGGAACGUGCCCAGUCGUGGGGGAUAGCCCGGGGAAACCCGGAUUAAUACCGCAUACGACCUGAGGGUGAAAGCGGGGGACUCGCAAGGGCCUCGCGCGAUUGGAGCGGCCGAUGUCGGGUUAGGUAGUUGGUGGGGUACAGGCCUACCAAGCCUGCGAUCCGUAGCUGGUCUGAGAGGACGACCAGCCACACUGGGACUGAGACACGGCCCAGACUCCUACGGGAGGCAGCAGUGGGUAAUUUUGGACAAUGGGGGCAACCCUGAUCCAGCCAUGCCGCGUGCGGGAAGAAGGCCUUCGGGUUGUAAACCGCUUUUGUCAGGGAAGAAAUGUCCUGGGCUAAUACCCUGGGGGGAUGACGGUACCUGAAGAAUAAGCACCGGCUAACUACGUGCCAGCCGCCGCGGUAA
rnacentral:rRNA from 1 species